UCAUUUAUUGAUAAGUGACGCAAAUAACUUUGUGGGUAAAUUGCGUCACUUCUUUCUUCAUUGAGCGACGCAAAUGACUAUUACCACUACCACCCACUCAGUGCUUCCUCUCAUUCAAUAUAAAAUACUCUUGCUCCCAUGUCGCCGUUCGAACUUCAAAAUUAAACCCUAGCAAAUUCAACUGCAAAAUCCCCAAAUAUUCAACAUCAAAACCUCAAGAAAUUCGUCCAACCAACCGAUUCCCCAGCGUUGCCUUGUUGUCGUUCGUACUGCAAAACCUACUGAUUUCAACAGCAAAACCCUGAUAAAUUCGACCCAAACAAACAAAUUUGACCCCAAAAUCAACAAAUUCGACCACUAAUUGAAAACCCCAAAAUAUCCAAGCCAAAACCCCCCACUUUCUAGCAAAUUCGAGGCAAAACACCCCAUUUUUUAGCAAAAAUCGACUUAAACCACCCAUGAAAUUCAAACUAUUAAAAUCGUUGAUAUUCGAGAUGAAAUACCCUAAAUCGAGGCUAGUAGGGGAUUGCUGCUUGUUGGUGUUGCUGUUGAUGGUUAGCUGGGGCGGCAUUGGUUGAUUUUCGCGGUGGCAGCACUAUUAAUUAGUGGAGAUUUGGGUGCCGCUGCGGUGGUAAAUUGUUGUUCAAAAGUUGCUGGAGUUCUCUCGUUCUGCUUUGUUCUAUAAUUUCUCAUUUCUGAUGGUUGGUGGUUAGUGGCGGUGGUGUGGCUUUGGUGCAGCGGCAAUUUGUUGCAGAGAGCUUUUUUGUUGUUGAGUUGUUUGUAAAUUGUAGGGGAGAAGGUAAAGGUUUCUCUCUCACAGCCACAUAUACAUAUUAACUCUAAUCUUUUUGUAUUUCAUUGAAUUUUCUAGUUUGAUUGUUAUAUAAUAUCAGGUAUCAGUUGGAUCAAUAAUCUGCUUAUCGCAUUUCUCUAGCUAGUUCAAUCUCACAAAUAAGAGCCAUAUUUUCUACCACAAAAUAAUUACAGGACUUACUAUUUGCAGAAAAAGCCGAGACAUAGUUCCUAAAUCCUAAAUUUCACAUUAGCAUGUUUAUAUAAGACUAAGUUUCAACAUUAUUUAUCACCUGAGAUAAUUGUCUGUUUUUCAGGGGGUUGGGGGAAACUGAUAAUAAUUCUUGAAGCAGUUAAUUUGAUUAGAAUGGGAUCUUGGAAAUAUUUGAUCAAUUACAAAAGUUUUAAAAGAAGUUUAAGCCUCCAAGACAAAGUUUGGUCUCCAUACAAACAACUUCAUCAUAGUUCAAAAAACAAUGGAGAUUGUGAAAGUGUAUGACUUGAAGUUCUCGAAGAAUAAGGUACAGUGAAUAUUUUGUUGCAUGUAUAGUGAUAAAUAAAAACAAUGGAGUGAAAUAAAUUCUUAACUAAGAUGUAUUUUUUCUUAAAAUAUGGUGAGAAUGAUUAGUAUUCUUAUUUUUCAUGCUUGAGUUUGUAUCUCUUUUGAAAUAAGGUGUAUUAGUAUGUCAACUUACUUUGUUGCUAUGAUGCGUGUAGUGACAUAAAAAAUUGGGAGGAUGUGAGAUAUGGAUACUAUGUCAUGUGCUAUACGUUUGAAAUAGUUCAACAUCAUCAUAAUAUAAAGAGGACCUUAUUAUAGUUUAUUUAGAACAAUACCUUAUACUGGGGAGGAGAUAAAUGUGGUUCAAGAUAUUUGGUAAGACUAUUUUAUGAGCAAUGUUGAAAUUUAGAAUUUAACUUAGCUAACUCCAUUUAUUUGUUAGAAUUUUUUUGUUUAGUUCUUAGGCUUGAAAUGAAUGUAAUUGGGUUACCAACAUUUUGGGUUGGUCUUUGUUCUUGUGUUGGUUAAUGAUACCAAUCAUUUUAAGUUGUAAACUUUUUGAUAGGAUAUUAGUGUAUACAUUGACGUCAUUCCCAAAUUUAUGGGUAGGCCAAAAUACGAAGGAAAAUCUGUCGAAAUAUAUACUUGAUUUGAUUAA